UUUAAAAAAUCUGUUAACAUAGCCAUCUUCAUUAAUGAUCUUAGCUAGAUCUUUUAGACUUGCUACAUAGUCUCCAUCAGCACUUGCUGCUUCCGCUUGGACUUUUCUGAUACAGAGAGGGCUUCUUUCUAUAAACUUCUGCUAGCUUCAAACUUUUCUUCUGCAGCUGCUUCUCUUCUUUCAGCCUUCAUAGAAUUGAAGAGAGUUAGGACCUUGCUCUGGAUUAGGGUUUGGCUUAAGGGAAUAUUGUGACUGAUCUAUCCAUACCACU